AUCCAGUUUCUGCUGCGGUUCUGCCUCCUUGUGUCUCUCUUCCUCUCUGGAGGGGGCGGGGAUGUUGUCUUAGUGAUGAUCAUGUGACCUAAACAGGAAGUGUUCAAACCGAACCACAUAAACUGUUUAGCCCAUCUCUCAUACAAUUGACUGUCUCAUAUCUCUGGCUGUCUCAUAUCUCUGGCUGUCUCAUACGGAGCAGAAUGGGGGAGAGAAAGAUCCUGUGUAUAGGACUGGUCUGUCUAGAUAUAAUCAAUGUGGUGGAUAGAUAUCCAGAAGAAGACACGGACACCAGGUGUUUAUCUCAGCGGUGGCAGCGCGGUGGUAACGCCUCCAACUCCUGCACCGUGCUGUCUCUACUGGGGGCCCCCUGUGCCUUCAUGGGCUCCUUGGCUCCUGGCUACAUCGCAGA